rnacentral:rRNA from 1 species
AUUGAACGCUGGCGGCAUGCCUUACACAUGCAAGUCGAACGGCAGCACGGGUGCAAAGGGUAACCAAUGCGCCUGGUGGCGAGUGGCGAACGGGUGUGUAAAAUAUCGGAACGUACCCAGUAGAGGGGGAUAACUCGCUGAAAGGUGAGCUAAUACCGCAUACGCCCUGAGGGGGAAAGUGGGGGAUCGCAAGACCUCACGUUAUUGGAGCGGCCGAUAGCUGAUUAGCUAGUUGGAGGGGUAAAGGCCCACCAAGGCGACGAUCAGUAGCUGGUCUGAGAGGACGGCCAGCCACACUGGAACUGAGAGACGGACCAGACUCCUACGGGAGGCAGCAGUGGGGAAUUUUGGACAAUGGGGGCAACCCUGAUCCAGCCAUGCCGCGUGAGUGAAGAAGGCCU